GGAGAAAUAGCUCAGUGGUAGAGAUCGGUUUCUUAACACUCAAAAGGUCGUCGGUUCGAUCCCCAGCUUCCCCG